AGGAUUAUAGUUAACUAUAACAUUUGAUUUGCAUUCAAAAAGUAUCUUACGGAUUAAUCUUG
rnacentral:tRNA from 1 species